rnacentral:rRNA from 1 species
AGUGAACGCUGGCGGUAGGCCUAACACAUGCAAGUCGAACGGCAGCACAGUAAGAGCUUGCUCUUACGGGUGGCGAGUGGCGGACGGGUGAGGAAUACAUCGGAAUCUACUUUUUCGUGGGGGAUAACGUAGGGAAACUUACGCUAAUACCGCAUACGACCUACGGGUGAAAGCAGGGGAUCUUCGGACCUUGCGCGAUUGAAUGAGCCGAUGUCGGAUUAGCUAGUUGGCGGGGUAAAGGCCCACCAAGGCGACGAUCCGUAGCUGGUCUGAGAGGAUGAUCAGCCACACUGGAACGGGGACACGCUCCAGACUCCUACGGGAGGCAGCAGUGGGGAAUAUUGGACAAUGGGCGCAAGCCUGAUCCAGCCAUACCGCGUGGGUGAAGAAGGCCUUCGGGUUGUAAAGCCCUUUUGUUGGGAAAGAAAAGCAGCAGGUUAAUACCCCGCUGUUCUGACGGUACCCAAAGAAUAAGCACCGGCUAACUUCGUG